rnacentral:rRNA from 1 species
GAUGAACGCUGGCGGCGUGCUUAACACAUGCAAGUCGAACGAAGCACCUUAGACAGAAGCCUUCGGGCGGAAGACUUUGGUGACUUAGUGGCGGACGGGUGAGUAACGCGUGGGUAACCUGCCCUGUACCGGGGGCCAACAGGUGGAAACGACUGCUAAUACCGCAUAAGCGCACAGCAUCGCAUGAUGCAGUGUGAAAAACUCCGGUGGUACAGGAUGGACCCGCGUCUGUUUAGCUAGUUGGUGAGGUAACGGCUUACCAAGGCAACGAUCAGUAGCCGACUUGAGGGAGUGAUCGGCCACAUUGGGACUGAGACACGGCCCAAACUCCUACGGGAGGCAGCAGUGGGGAAUAUUGCACAAUGGGGGAAACCCUGAUGCAGCGACGCCGCGUGAAGGAAGAAGUAUUUCGGUAUGUAAACUUCUAUCAGCAAGGAAGAAAAUGACGGUACUUGACUAAGAAGCCCCGGCUAAAUACGUGCCAGCAGCCGCCGUAA